rnacentral:rRNA from 1 species
UGUAGUUUAACACCUGCAUUAUUUGACGUUACCUACAGAAGAAGCACCGGCUAACUCCGUGCCAGCAGCCGCGGUAAUACGGAGGGUGCGAGCGUUAAUCGGAAUUACUGGGCGUAAAGCGCAUGCAGGCGGCCUGUUUAAGUCAGAUGUGAAAGACCCGGGGCGUUAACCUUCGGAAUUGCAUUUGUAAACUAGGCAGGCUAGAGUCUUGUAGAGGGGGGUAGGAAUUUCAGGUGUAGCGGUGAGAUGCGUAGAGAUCUGAAGGAAUACCAGUGGCGAAGGCGGCCCCCUGGACAAAGACUGACGCUCAGAUGCGAAAGCGUGGGGAGCAAACAGGAUUAGAUACCCCUGGUAG